CAGCCGCCACGGGAAUACGUAGGUGGCAAGCGUUGUCCGGAAUUAUUGGGCGUAAAGGGCUCGCAGGCGGUUUCUUAAGUCUGAUGUGAAAGCCCCCGGCUCAACCGGGGAGGGUCAUCGGAAACUGGGAAACUUGAGUGCAGAAGAAGAGAGUGGAAUUCCACGUGUAGCGGUGAAAUGCGUAGAGAUGUGGAGGAACACCAGUGGCGAAGGCGACUCUCUGGUCUGUAACUGACGCUGAGGAGCGAAAGCGUGGGGAGCGAACAGGAUUAGAUACCCGUGUAGUCCCUGUCUCUUAUAA
rnacentral:rRNA from 1 species